UACGUAGGUGGCAAGCGUUGUCCGGAAUUACUGGGCGUAAAGCGUGCGCAGGCGGCUUCUCAAGUCAGGGGGUGAAAGCCCAGAGCUCAACUCUGGAAUUGCCUUUGAGACUGAGUGGCUUGAGUACGAGAGAGGUGAGUGGAAUUCCCAGUGUAGAGGUGAAAUUCGUAGAUAUUGGGAAGAACACCGGUGGCGAAGGCGGCUCACUGGCUCGUAACUGACGCUCAUGCACGACAGCGUGGGGAUCAAACAGG
rnacentral:rRNA from 1 species